CCAUUUCUUCCCACCUUCUACUCCCAGUAAUAGAGACAGACAUCGGCUGCUGGGCUAAGAUGAAUGUCCCAGCUUCUCCUGCAACUUGGAUGGCCACGGGACUAGAUUCUGGUCAAUGGGCAGAUGUAGAAAUGGUAUGUGCCAAUACCCAAGUCAUGUGUCACUGCUGAGAGCUGGGACAGCCAUUUAUAAUGAGAAGAAAGCUGCACAUUCAGGAGAAGAGAGCGACAAGACAGACCCAAGUCCCUAGGACAGGGGAGCUGCCAUAUUGGCCCAAUAGUGUUUACGUUUGGACUACACCAAGAAAGAGACAUUAACUCCUAUAUUGGCACUUUUGCUCUGAUUCCAAUUAUAGAUGCUAAACUUGUACUAUUAUUACUAUUGUUAUUAUUAUUAAUUUUUGAGACAGGGUCUGUGUCUGUUACCCAGGCUGGAGUGCAGUGGUGCAGUCUCAGCUCACUAUAGCCUCAACCUCCUAGGCUCACAGUGAUCCUCCCACCUCAGCCUCCCAAGUAGUAGUUGGGACUACAGGUAUGUGCCAACAUGCGCAGCUAAUUUUUGUAUUUUUUUGUAGAGAUGGGGUUUUGCCAUGUUUCCCAGGCUGGUCUUGAACUCCUGAGCUCGUGCAAUCUACCCACCUUGGCCUCUCAAAGUGCUGGGAUUAGAGGCCUGAGCCACCAUGCCCGGCCUAAACAUGGAUUUUAAAAGCACCUCAAAGUGUUUCUGGAAUGAAUGAUGAAUUCACAGAUCCAAGCCUGUGGAGGAGGCG
ensembl:lncRNA novel transcript